rnacentral:lncRNA from 1 species
AUGUAGCUGCUGAAAAAUACUAUAGAGUUUUCAAAGAAAAAGCUUUUCAUGUACCAACUAUUUCCCCAGGCAUCUUCCAACAAGUUGAAGUUCAUGAUGGUGAUUGGGACGACCAUGGCCAUGGCUCCGUUAAGACAUGGAAAUACACCUUAGGUAAGUAUUCAAAUGAUCACAACAACUACUUGUUGCUCUAAACUAGUUUUCACAAAUGGUCUUUCUUAUUGUAAAAAAUCAAUUAAUUUGUUUUUUACACGAUUUUAUUAGAUGGGAAAGACGAGGUUUUUAAAGAACAAGUGGAGUUUGAUGAUGAAAAGUAUGCAAUGACCAUGAUUGGACUAGAAGGAGAUGUGUUUACUCAUUACAAAACAUUUAAAGGAACAUAUCACGUUGUACCAAAGGGUCCUGAGCAUAGCUUGGCAGUUAUGAGUUUAGAAUAUGAAAAACUUGAUGAUGGGUCUCCUUAUCCUUAUAGUUAUCUCGACAUCAUGAAUCGUGUGACAAAGGACAUUGAAUCCCACCUAAAGUGAUAACCUUCUGUGUCUCAAUAGCUUCAUCACUCUUUCAUUCUAAAUUAUGGUUGAUUAUUGUUAUGUUGGAGUUGCUUUUUCUUGUCAAGUUUGUUUCUAAACAUGUGUGUACUACCUCUUGUCUUUCUUAAUGCUUAUU